UGCUAAGUCAAUGCAGUCAUGUCAGGCUCUGUGACCCUGCGGACUGUAGCCCGCCAGGCUCCUCUGUCCGCGGGAUUAUCCAGGCAAGGAUACUGGAGUGGGUUGCCACGCCCUCCUCCAGGGGAUCUUCCCGACCGACCCAGGGACUGAAC